rnacentral:tRNA from 1 species
UCCUUUCUGGCUCAGCUGGUAAAGAAUCUGCCUGCAAUGCAGGAGACCUGGGUUUGAUUCCUGGGUUGGGAA